AGGUCUUGGGAACACACAUUCAUAGAAGAGGGGACUCAUCCAUAUUCUGGCUUUCCACUGUGCUGAAAUGAAGUAUGGACACAUUUGAUAGAGAGAAGAAAUAGUUGACAUGGAUGUUCAAAACAAAACAUCUUGUGCCUACAGUUUGGAUGACAACCUUGCACCCUGGAUUUCAGUCUCUUCUUUGGCAAAAUGAACCAGGGUCAAAACCUAGGAUAUUCCAGAGCAGUGGAAUGAACUGUACAUGUUACGCAUCUAAGGGUCCAAUGACCAGCAUGUGGAGAGCACAGUCACAGCUCAUUUGAAAGACGAACUAACACAUCUCUGUUCAAACACUUUAACAGCAUCCCCAUCUGAAUUCUACUUGGGGAGAAGUUCAUUGGCACAGCUCACUUACUUGGCCACUUUUCUGAGAAAAACAGUGAGUAAUUUCUCUGCUUACAGGAAUAGAAGCAGAAAAAGC